UACGAAGGGGGCUAGCGUUGUUCGGAAUCACUGGGCGUAAAGCGCACGUAGGCGGACUUUUAAGUCAGAGGUGAAAUCCCAAGGCUCAACCUUGGAACUGCCUUUGAUACUGGGAGUCUUGAGUUCGGGAGAGGUGAGUGGAACUGCGAGUGUAGAGGUGAAAUUCGUAGAUAUUCGCAAGAACACCAGUGGCGAAGGCGGCUCACUGGCCCGAUACUGACGCUGAGGUGCGAAAGCGUGGGGAGCGAACAGG
rnacentral:rRNA from 1 species